rnacentral:lncRNA from 1 species
CGGCACAGGAGGGGGAUUAACCCGUUCCUAGCAUGGCCAAGGGGAGGUCAGGCAUGCAGAAGUUAAGCAGUCACAAGUUUCGCUCCUCCACUGCUGGUGCACUCAGUCUUGCAUCACAUCACCGCGACUUCCCACAUCCAUAGUUCGCUUGGCCCAGAUCACUCCCUAGAAGAGCCGAGGGAUGGGACAGCGGAUGGGACAGCACGGGGCGAUUCCUCCUGGGGUUUGGCAGCGCUCGGCUCUCCCAGCUCCCUUCUCAUGGUCUUGUAACGGGAGGGGAGUCACUCCAGUCAGGCUGAUCUUCAUUUCUAGAGCAUUUUCCUUAGCAGGCGCAUGUCAUGACUCCCGUUAGGGACAUCAGAGCUGUCCUAUUGGCAUAUAGACUCUCACGUGUGUCGUGCUUUCUGUUUUCUUCACCCAGGUGUUUUGACGCAGCCUCCUCUGCUCCGAAACACUUCCUGGAAAAGGCAGAGCCCCUGAGGCAUCCCUCCCCGCAGCAUCCUCCGUUUGCCUCUGCCGGCUAAACAAGACGGAGCCUCUCGCACCUAAACAUCUGCGGUUCCUCCUCGAACGGCGGACGUGCGCCCGCUCGCUCAGCGCUCACAUCUGGCUGAGAGCGCACCAGCCGGGCUGAGGAAAGCAUCCAGCCCCUGGACUUUCACCUCCUACAUUGGGGCGGCCGGUCAGAGUUGUCCCAUAUGGGACAGCAUGGACAGUCGCGCUGUUUUUUAAGACCCUAGAAAAAAACCCGUGCGACAUUAACCCCGCAAGACACAAGCAAGCGCACAAGAUGCUGAAGGCAAGGUUACUGCAGCCUUCUCUGCAGCCCCGGCCCAGCUGCAUCGGGCCCACGAAGCCCAGCCAGCGCUCCUAUGGCUUCGAGACUCCCAAAGUGGAUGCAGGAGAGGGCUGUGGUUGUCAGAUGCUGCAGCCGGAGAAAGAGAAGCUGAAUCCCCAGCCAUCGGGAAGCAUUGGGCCUUCUCGCCUGCAGGCCCAGGAGGAAAAGGAGCCCGGGAGAACGAAUGGAGACCUGCUGGUGCCCAGGCUGGCGUCCUCUGGCAGGUGCUCGAGCCUGGGGGAAGCCGCGGGGUCUGUGGCGGACCUGCCCCGCUCUGAGCCAAGCCAAGAGUGGAAGGUGGUGAAGGUUCAACGCGUCCUCAUUUCUCCCGUGGGCCAGCCAAGGAAAGCAACUCAGUUCUCUUUGGGAAUUCCCAGUAUCGCAGAACCAGCUGGGUCUUUUGCUCCCUGGCUAGGAAGCAUCCCUCAUCUUACAUUUCCUAGCUCUUUUGGGGGCAUUGCAUUUGGGAAGGCCAACUGGAAAUGCUUUCAAGGUGCCUGA